AUAAAAACGUUGAAGAGACGAGUAAACUACCACUUCAUUUCCAGAGAGAAAAUACAUCAGCUGUAAGUAUUUUUAUUUGAAACUAGUUGAAAACCAGCUCUGAGUGACUCUAAUAAAGUCCGUUUACAUCACGUUACGAUGAUAUUUAAGUGGCCUAAAUUUUAGGCAAUUAAGGGUGGAACCGCGGGAAGAAUUAUAUGCUCUCGUCCCUUUU
rnacentral:ncRNA from 1 species